UCUCCGUUGGUGAACCAGCGGAGGGAUCAUUACCAGAGUUUUACAACUCCAAACCCUUCUGUGAACAUACCUAUCGUUGCUUCGGCGGACUCGCCCCAGCGUCCGGACGGCUCCGCGACGGCCCGCGACCUGGACCCAGGCGGCCGCCGGAGACCACACAAUCCUGUAUCCAUCAGUCUCUCUGAAUCCGCCGCAGGGCAAAACAAACGAAUCAAAACUUUCAACAAUGGAUCUCUUGGUUCUG
rnacentral:misc_RNA from 1 species